UCGACUUGCAGUGUUUUGUGGCUAAACUAAGGAUCUGCGGUUAAAGUUCCAAAGAAAAAGUUAUAGCCUGGAUCCUUUGUUUCCCUUAUCAAUUUAGUGGGGUACUCCUACUAUUCUACUCACUCCGAUGCAUAACUUGGAUUUAGUAUACACUUCUGAUUCUAUAGGCCCCCUCUCACGCGCGAGAAAACACAAGACUAGUACCCGGUACCCCUUCGGUUGCAAGAGCAGUUUUGUAAUUAUCACGACCGUACAACCCAGCGUAUGGCCCUCGAGGGUUGUACGCGUCUGUAUUCGUAGGAGUCGACGUGUAUAUGUACUCGCACGACAUACGCCCGUUAUGGAAUAAGAAAACCCACGUCAUCUGCAUCGACUAUUUUCUCGAGAUAUGUGCCCUGCCUCCGGAGUGUCGACGCAGAUCUAUGUCGAUCGGAAAGGUCGAAAGAUGGCGAGGUGGAGUCGGGUCACGGACGACAACGAGUGCCGGACAAGAGUGCAGAUGGAGUGCCACAAGAUUUUUUGGAAACCGCCGGCCAGGAAUGUCUAUCGCGAGGGUGAUUCGUGGCAUAGAGGCAUAGAUUGUGCCGUUCCUGUAUUUUUUUUUCUUUUUUCAAUUACCUGGACACCGUACACAAAUAGGUACUGAUGGAGUAUGCGGCUACAUGAUUAUUGGGACCCGAUGACUUUGGGGUGGGGGGUGUGUGUAUUGAAUAACGUCUCUUUAGUAUAACACAAAGCAACUAGAGUACUCCUACUGAUCUAGUCCCUCCGAUACAUAAUAAGUGUCUUGGAUUUGGUAUAAGAUGGAGCGAGUACAUGGUUCAUCCCAAAAAAAUACUCACACCGUUUCUAAAUUCUGGUCGUGGUUUUAAAUCAAGCAACGGAGGAAGGAGUACACGUGAGAUGGCUACAAGAAAAAUAUCUGACAUGUGGAAACGUGUCCAGGGAGCAGAGUAUUCCACUAACGCGGAGGCGGUGCCACUAGCGUGAUAUACCCGUAUCGUGCCAGCCACUCGUUUUCCACUGGCCAUCCAAUUAGUUCACUUUGUGUUAUAUUAGAGACAGUUAAUUAACAGAAGAAAAAGUACCGUUUGUGUCAGACCAACUUUUUUUACUUUUCUUCUCUCUACUUGUGUCAGUCACUUUUUAAUCUUCUUCUCUCCUUUGUGUCAGUCACUUUUUAUCUUUUUCUCUCUUCUUUGUGUCAGUCACUUACACUUUCACGUAAAGUCCAAGCAAUUUUUCUUUUUCUCACUUUUUUCUAUAAUAUUUUUGUUUCUUUUGUACAUAAAAUUUUAAGUACCUUAUCAAUUUUACACGUGACGGAAUUACUCAAUUUCAAGUAUGUCAUCAAUUUUAUGUACCUCGUCAAUUUAAGUACCCUAUAUACAAUACUCAUUGAUAACUACGAGAACAAUCAAAAGUACUAAGUACUUUCGAAACCAUAGUACCUCAUUAAUUUUUAGUACAUAGCAAAUACAACAAGGUACAUGUCAAGUACAUUAGGAUAGUUACAAUAUAUUAUCAAUUUUGUAUCCUCAACAAUUUUAAGUACCUUCUUAAUUUGAUGUACAUCGAGGUACAUGUCAAGUACAUGACAAUAACUUAUCAAUUUGUGAUAUGAAAUCCUUGUACAUCAAUCCAUGCAAAAAUGAAUACAUGACAAGUACCUUCUCAAAUUGAUGUACAUCACUAAAAAUGCACAUUAAUAUGCAUCAAACAAAUCACAACAUAAGCAUCAUCAAAAAUUAACAAUUAGUACAGUGCCUAAAGCAUCAAAAACAAACAACAAUAUGUGGAUCAAACAAAAAUCAUAGUACAAGCAUCGUCAAAACCUAAUACCUUGUCAUGUACCCAUGGUACAUAUUAAUCUUAUUGCGUACAUUAGCACGUCAAAUAAGAUACCUGCCUAAAGCAUCAAGAAACAAUUACAACACACGAUGAGUACCUCCUGAAUCACACUGACGCUAACCCAAUGGUACAUCAUAACCCAGUGGUACAUCACAGAAAAAGAAGAAAUACACCUUCGAACUCAAAACAAGUUCAUGAUAGGAAGAAAAAAAACUCAAUAUGUCUAGGAAAGGAACUUUGAUCUACUCCACCUGCAAAUCAAUAG
rnacentral:lncRNA from 1 species